UAUGAGGGAGCCAGGGAUUGCCUCCCUUAGAAAGAAAGAAGAGACUAAUGAGUAGACAGAGUGCCUCUGCUCCAGCUCUGUGCUGUUAGUCAACCCGUUAUUUAACACCACAUGGAGGACUGCUUACCUUUUCUUCUAACGUGCCCAAUAAAGGAGGACCAUGAUUACAGGAACUGAGAAACAACCCGGCAGGCUGAAGCUGACAAGAGGUUGAACCACUUGUUAAACUGCAAAAGAAUAUGAAGAAAUGAGCAAUGCACCUAUAAAGAAAUCAUGCUGGACUGAACUCUGCCUUCAAGACAGCUACGGCAACAGAGAAGUAGCAAGGCACUGCUCUGCAUGUCCAAAUAUAAUAAAGAAGAGUUAAAAGACCUGGACAAUACGUACUUGACAGGAUAUUUGGUUCACAGAUUCAUGGCAAACAUAUCAAGGCUAUUUUCUUCUAACCAUGCUCCUGUGACUUGGAAUCCAGCAGCUAUCCUAGACAAGGCAAGAAGUGAACAUGAACUACGUG
rnacentral:lncRNA from 1 species